rnacentral:rRNA from 1 species
UACGGGGGGGGCAAGCGUUGUUCGGAAUUACUGGGCGUAAAGGGCGCGUAGGCGGUUCAUUAAGUUGGAUGUGAAAACUCUGGGCUUAACUCAGAGCCUGCAUUCAAAACUGAUGGGCUGGAGUUCUGGAGGGGAUAGCGGAAUUCCUGGUGUAGCGGCGAAAUGCGUAGAUAUCAGGAGGAACACCGGUGGCGAAGGCGGCUAUCUGGACAGAAACUGACGCUGAGGCGCGAAAGCUAGGGGAGCAAACAGG